CCAAUAGAGAGCCGCCUGAAGGCUGGUUGGGGUGGUGAGGUCCGAGGCAGCUUCUGGAAUUUCUGAGCAGCCCUGGUCAGUACAAGAUGGACCCAGUAGUCUUGAGUUACAUGGACAGUCUACUGCGGCAAUCAGAUGUCUCACUAUUGGAUCCUCCAAGCUGGCUCAAUGACCAUAUUAUUGGGUUUGCCUUUGAGUACUUUGCCAACAGUCAGUUUCAUGACUGUUCUGACCAUGUCUGCUUCAUCAGCCCUGAAGUCACCCAGUUCAUCAAGUGCACUGGCAACCCAGCAGAGAUCGCCAUGUUCCUUGAACCCUUGGACCUCCCUCACAAGAGAGCUGUAUUUUUAGCCAUCAAUGAUAAUUCCAACCAGGCAGCUGGGGGAACCCAUUGGAGUUUGUUGGUUUAUCUCCAAGAUAAAAAUAGCUUUUUUCAUUAUGAUUCUCAUAGUAGGAGCAACUCAGUCCAUGCAAAGCAGGUAGCAGAGAAACUAGAGGCUUUCUUAGGCAGAAAAGGAGACAAAUUGGCCUUUGUGGAAGAGAAAGCCCCUGCUCAACAAAACAGCUAUGACUGUGGGAUGUACGUGAUAUGUAACACUGAGGCCUUGUGUCAGAACUACUUCAGGCAACAGCCAGAAUCACUAUUGCAGCUACUCACUCCUACGUACAUCACAAAGAAGAGAGGAGAAUGGAAAGAUCUCAUUGCCACACUUGCUAAAAAUUAGCUGUUGAAAUAUAUUUGUGACUUUUGAAGUCUCGCCUCUCCCCAUGUAUUUGGAUGGCUACAACCUCAGUGCCUGAAGGAAGAUGCCUGGUAGAGGAAAGGUCACCUCCAGAGGGCUUCCCACCCCCAACCAGUAUGUAUAUCUGAUCGGGAGAGGGGCCUCACCUGGAGCCUCGGAGUCUCUGGACCCUGCCUAGUUUCUCCGUGCUCUUCAAAGAAGCCGUCUUUCCGUGCAUCUGUUGAAUACUGAGGAGAAACAGGCCCUCAUCAGGAAGGGGGGCUCUCUGGGGACACCUUUCCCAGCCAGCUCCACCAUGUCCAGGGCAGCUGCCUCUGCCCCCUACCCAAGACCGGCCCUGCUAUUCAAGGUAAGGAGCUGGAACCUGGAACCUGCAGAUCCCAGCGCUCCGUCCCUCUGGGCAGUGUCACCAGGCAAAGUCAAAUUCUCUUCUUCAAGAACAGAGUUACUGGGACUUCCCCGGUGAUCCAGUGGAUAGGAAACUGAGACCUGCCAGGGACAGGCUGUACCCAGUGUCACACAGCAAAGAGCCAGGUGAUCUCACCCACCAAAUGAGCCCAACCACAGCCAUGUGGCCUGAUGACCUCUGUCCUCAACCUUACGGUGAGUUUUGGUGCACAUAUGUAUGUCCUGAAUCUUUCAAAGUGACAGGUUGUGCUAGCGAUGUGACCCUUUGACUCCUGAAGUUAAUUUCUGAAUUUAUUUGGGUCCAUCAUAACACAUUUCACAGAGACUUCUCCCCCUUGAUUUUUUAAAUGCUCAUUAUAGAAAAUAUGAGAAAUAUAAAAUAUAUAAAGCAUUAUGAUCAAAAAUCACCCAUAAGAAAAAAAUCCCCCCAAAAUCACCCAAAGAAAACAUUUAUGCAUAAAUAUAUAAUUUACAUAAGUGGGAUUAUAUAUCAUAUAAUUUGUAUGCCCUAUUUUUGCUUAACAUAAUUUCAUGAGAAAUUCCCCAUGUCACUAUUCAUUCCUUGGAUAGAUUCUCAGAAGUGAAAUUUGUGGAUGGAGAAUGAGCAUUUCUCAGGAUCUUUAGACCCACUUCCAAAAUGCUUUCCAGGUGCUAUACCAACGAGCAUGGCCAUCAGCACUAUAUGAGGGUGCCCGUUGCCCUACAUCCAGCCCAUACACUGGGUAUUAUCUUUUUCUCACCUUUGCAAAUUUGAUAGGUGAAAAUAUAUUGUUUUCAUUUCUAUUUCUGCUUAUUGACAGGUUGAACAUUUUUGCCAAAUACAUAUUAACCACUGGGAUUUCAUCUGUGAAUUGUCUAUAAGGAUCUUCAUGUCUUUCUUAUUGAUUUGUAUACCUUCUUUGUUGAGAAGAUUAAUCCUUAGUUUAUCAUUUUUGCAAAUAUUUCCCCCAUUUGCCUUUCCGUUCUGUGGUAUUGUUGCUGUACUUGUGUUUAAUUUUUGUGCGGCUCAUCCCAUCCCUCUCUUUCAUCUCUCUGUUUCUUUCUUGCUUUGAGGAUAAGAGAGGCCCCUGAAGCAGAGUGUGUACAAGUCAAACCACCGAGCCUUAGAGACCUUGAACCCUGCAGCCCAGGAGCCCACGGGGCCACCAGGGAGGAGAUGGGUGUGGGCUCCACUCUAAGGAACACACUCCAGCCCUGGGGACCAAGGAUAAAACAAGACCCCAAGAGGAAGAAGGAGGAACUUGAUCAUGGUUUCAGAGGCAGGGAGCCUGUCACUCAGGCACUGGAAAGUGUGAUACGAGUUGUCAGGGCUGCAGGAGCUCAGAGGACACACAGAGUGAAAGAGUUACAGCAGGACUCCCAGAGAAAAGGAAGCUGAGCCUUACCAGCUGGGUGGGACUAUAAUCCUGCUUGGCUUCCAUCAUCUAACCCUGCGUGAUAAUCACGCCUUUGCAUAGAUUCUAAACCCAACCCAUCCUUAGGUUCAAAUGUGACCUCAGGGAGGGGCGCCUUCCAUCAAUCCUCCCCCAGCCUAGUGAUGAGCCCUACUGCAGGCUCUCAGCCCCAAACCCCAGGCUCCCUCUCAGGCACCUGUGUGUGAGCUCUAACUGCCCACCUCCAGGGGCUCCAGGACGCCUCCUGCAACCUCGCAACCCCUGAGCCUAGGGCACCGCCAGCGUGCAGCAGGCACUCGUGACGUGACAUGUCUGAGGAAGGACUGUGUGGACAGUGUAAGUGAGAUCAAGAACAGAGGUUGGAGGAGAGAUGGGCCAUGAGAAUAACAAAAAAAGGCUGCCACGAUUCUCACAGCAUCUCCAUGAAAAAAAUAACGGUAAGAAAACAGGAGUCCCUUGGGGUAAAUGACUCAAAUAUGUUCAAACUCAAAGCAACCCCUUUUCGUGUGAUGAACAUGAUGGUCACAAGCCAAUCCUUCAUGUCCAUCGAUUAAAAUCAGCCCCUCCGGGCCGUCCUGAUAAUGCUGUUGAUACAGAGACCCUGGCUAUGGCCAAAAUGCACUGCUUUCAAAAUCACCUUCAAGUCAGACUUUCUACUGAUUCGUCUUCUUUCCCAUAGUAUUUGUUUAGAUGAGUAAAAAUAAAGAGAUGGGAGCAAAGUCAGAGGAAAAGCUAGGUCUGGGGUGAUAGUCACCGAGAAUUCACCAACAGAACCAGGCAGGUGGGGUCCACCCAAGGAGCAACAGGGCCCUGACCCAGACGAAGGAGGUGGCAAGAGCAGGGCGCUGGAGAGUGAGGGGCCAGGCUGGGUCCCCGCCCCCUGCCGGCAGUCUCUGUCCACUCCCACAGAGCCUUCCUCAACCUAGUUGCUCUUGCUAUGUGUGUUGUGAACCAUACCCGCUGCCCAUCCAGCCCCAUCACACCUCCAUGUGCAGACUAUGGAGUUAAUAUCAAGGGUCUUCAAAACCAUAUCUAUUUUUUUCAAUCAAAGCCACAAAAAAAUGUCGUUAUUGUCAUGAGGGUGAUGGAGCACGGGAGGCUCAGUAUGCUGGACAUUAAAGGGGGGAGAAAAAGUUUGAAAAUUCCUCAGAUGAGGCCCUUUCAUUCUGCUGAGCCUAGUCCAAAGGCAAGAUGCUGAUCCAGAGGACACAACUUGUGCUUGCCCUACCCUCAGGCCUUGCUGGCCCCAGUGGGAACUCAGGCUAACUGCCCAUUCCUUCAUGCCUUACUGAGCUUAUCACCCCAGGAACCCAGUAUGAGCCUGCCCAGCCCAGGGGGCUGCUGAGAGGGAGGGGAUGGGCAGCUAGCACUGAGAGACGUCGGGAGAGGAGCAAGGCCCAUCAGGAAAGGAGAGACACAGGGAAUUCCCUGGUGGUCCAGUGGUAGGACUCCGCACUUUCACAGCCAAGGGCCCGGGUUCAAUCCCUGGUCGGAGAACUAAGAUCCUGUCAGCCAAGCAGCACAGCCGGAAAAAAAAGAAGGAAAGGGGAGACACAGAGAGGUUAGGAGAGGGAGAGAGAGGCAGUGCAGAGAAGACCCAGAGAGGCUGAGUCUAGCUGCUUCCUAGGGACCUCACAGACGAAGCUUCAUGGGACACUUGACACAUGCACUCCGCUCUGGAUGUCUCCCCCGAGCUCAAAAUAUCCACACCAGGUAGAUACUCCCCCACCUAAAUCCCUAACGCGACACCUCGUCCCUCCAGAGCGGCAGAGCCUGCCAUCUAGACGAAUCCAUCAAAGUGAGCUCAGCAUCACCCCCCCAAAUCUGCUUCCCCUUGAAAGGCCCCGUCCUCCACAGUUACCCAAGCCAGAGUCCUCAACUCACGCUUCUUCUCCACCGCUGCAACCAGUCAACCGCCAAGGCCCCGAGAGCCUGGCACCACCCGACCCACCGUACCAUCUACUGUCUCCACUCCUGCUACAGCAGGCAAGCCUAGGCCACCAUCAUCCUCUUCCUGGAUGCUGGCAACAGCUUCCUAACUACACCUGCCCCCAGCCUUGCCCUUCCACACCUGGCACUCUCCCACAGCCACACUGCCAACAGAGCCACCUGGGGCCCAGAUCUGAGCCUGCCCCCCUCCUGCUGACUUUCCUCCUGUAGUUCCUUCUUGCCUCCUACCUGGCCUUCCUGACCUUCCUGCUUCCUUUCCAGCCUCACCCCUGCAGCUCAGCGGCGGCCCUUCACCCCUGCAUGUUUGCUCUUCCUGGAAUUCCUUGCCAUGCUUAUCUACCUGGGGAAUUCCCUGGUUGUCUUUCAAAGCCCAGAUCAGGCGUCACCUUCUCUGUGAAGCCUUCCCAGCUUUCCCCCAUGCAGAGCUGGUCAUCCCUCCUCUAUGGUCCCUGGUCCCUUCUUUCACGCUGCUGCUCCAGCCCUUACCACCCCAGACUGUGCUUGUCUGUUUAGACAUCUGAGCUCCACCAGGGGGGUGUCUUCUACAUCUCUGUACCAGCAGCACACAGCAGGCGCCCAAUGUUUGCUAAAUGAAUGCGUGAAGGAGAGACAGAGAAAGGGACACGAUGACACUUCAAGAGGGAGGAGGGGAGAAAAAAAGCCGGGUAGUAGGGACUUCCCUGGUGGCUCAGGGUUAAGAAUCCGCCUGCCAGUGCAGGGGACACAGGUUCAAGCCCUGGUCCAGGAAGAUCCCACAUGCCGCAGAGGAACUAAGCUCAUGCGCCACAACUACCCAGCCUGCGCUCUAGAGCCCUCGAUCCACAACUACUGAGCCCACGUGCCACAACUACUGAAGCCUGUGCGACUAGAGCCCGUGCUCGGCAACAAGAGAAGCCACCGCAAUGAGAAGCCCGUGCACCGCAACGAAGAGUAGCCCCCGCUCGCCGCAACUAGAGAAAGCCCGUGCGCAGCAACGAAGAUCCAAUGCAGCCAAAAAUAAAUAAAUAAAUAAAAAUUUUAAAAGCCAGGCAGUAAGAGUGAAGGAGGCACAGAGAAUGAUGGAUGCCCAGCAGUAAGGGGAGGGGUGGUGGACAGGAGUGGAGGGGGGUCACCCACAGAUGGGCCCUCCCCUCCGGGAGCCCCGGCCUGUGGAGCAGGCAGACAGCCCGGCCCGGCAGCGCCAGGCACUCAAUCCACGCCGGCUGACUGAUCAAAGAGGAGCCUGGGUGGGAGACAGAGGACAUACGGAAAAGGGUGAAGUGGCUCGGAAGGGAUGGGAGGGGGUGUUUGGGGAAAAGCACAGGCUGGGCCCCUCCCAGCCCCACAGCAGUGCUCACUGGCUGCACCCCGCUGGGCUGUCGCAGCUCCACCCGCUCCCCAGCCCCUCCACCAGAACCCUCCCUAACCACAGGGCAACCCCUCCCCUCGCUCCUCAAGCCUCGGGCAGCAGCAGUGCCCGUGGCUGGGGCUGAAGCAGAAAACUCGGCCAGGCCUGGCAGCCGGAGCCAGCUGGGCCUUUGUGGUCACUGGAGGGUCCCCUCAGGUGUCUCCUCCCCCAGCGGGAUGUCCACACUCUCCCAAGUUGUCUUCUAGUGGACACCUGAGAUGCUAGAGUGUCCUGUGGGUCCUGUCAGCUCUUCUCAAGGCCAGGGCCAGCUCCCCCCACUCCUGCAGGGCGUGGGUCCCAAUCAGCUCCAAGGAGAGACCUUUUCCAAACAGAAAACACAUCUUAGGGAAUUCCCUGGCGGUCCAGUGGUUAGGACUCCGUGCUGGCACUGCCCAGGCGGGGUUCAAUCCCUGCUUGGGGAACUAAGAUCCCGCAAGCCACGUGGAGCGGCCAAAAAAAAGAAAGAAAACCCAUCUUAGCAGCAGGCCCCUGAGAGUGCAAAGCCAGAGACGGCGAAUAGAGCCAUCUAGGGACAGGGAGCUGAGGGCGCGUGUCCUGGAAGGAACGUCCACCACUGGGGCUCAGCAGCCUAGACCUUGGGGCGCCUCCAGAUUCCCCCAGGCUCCCUCACCCCACCCCACCUCUACAUCUCAGCACACAGCUCACCACCUACUUCACAGAGAAAAAAGACCAUCCUGUUAACUCGGAAGGGUAGCCUGCCGGGUACACACUAGAAUCACCUGUAGAGCUUUUCAAAAAACCAAAGAAAAAUGAUCCCUGAGCUCUGUUCUCAAACCAGUUAAAUCAGAACCUCUGGGGGUGGCAUUUAGGUAACUAUAUAUUUUUAACUUGUUACUGAUGUGUAAUUUACAUAUUGAAAAGUGCACACAAAGUAAGUGAACCGUGCAACGCAUUUCACAAACGGUGCAUACCGGAGAAGCUGCCCUCCAGAAGCCCCUCCCACGCCUUCUAGUCUCACUGCCCACUCCCAACCCCCCACCCCCGGUCAAAGAGAACCACCUACGCGACUUGCAACAACACAGAUUGUCUUUGGCUCUUCGGGGACUUUCUGUGGAUGGAAUCACGUGGUACGUGUUCUUUUACUCGGCAACACACUGGUGAGAUUCAUCCACACUGCUGUGUGGCUGCAAACUCUGCAUUUUCCCUAAUGUUUAGAGUUCCAUUAUAUGGACAUGUUGCAACUGAUUUAUUAAUCUUACCGUUGAGGGGCAUUUUACUAUUGAGUUUCCAGUUUUUGCCUGUUACAAAACCGUUGCUAUAAACAUUUCAGCACCUUGUGUCUUGCGCACACAAAUAUU